rnacentral:lncRNA from 1 species
UGAGAGAAUUGAGCAACCUUACAGGCACUCCAGGUUUCAUUGAAAACAGAUCCUGCAAAAGUUCCAGGUGCCCACACUGGAAACUUGGAGAUCCUGCUUCCCAGACCACAGCUGUGGGGAACUUGGGGUGGAGCAGAGAAGUUUCUGUAUUCAGCUGCCCAGGCAGAGGAGAAUGGGGUCUCCACAGCCUGAAGAAUGAAGACACGACAGAAUAAAGACUCGAUGUCAAUGAGGAGUGGACGGAAGAAAGAGGCCCCUGGGCCCCGGGAAGAACUGAGAUCGAGGGGCCGGGCCUCCCCUGGAGGGGUCAGCACGUCCAGCAGUGAUGGCAAAGCUGAGAAGUCCAGGCAGACAGCCAAGAAGGCCCGAGUAGAGGAAGCCUCCACCCCAAAGGUCAACAAGCAGGGUCGGAGUGAGGAGAUCUCAGAGAGUGAAAGUGAGGAGACCAAUGCACCAAAAAAGACCAAAACUGAGGAACUCCCUCGGCCACAGUCUCCCUCCGAUCUGGAUAGCUUGGACGGGCGGAGCCUUAAUGAU